rnacentral:rRNA from 1 species
AGCGAACGCUGGCGGCAUGCUUAACACAUGCAAGUCGCACGGGGCGCUUUCGGGCAUCCAAUGGCGGACGGGUGAGUAUCGCGUAGGGAUUUGUCGUUGGGUGGGGACAACCUUGGGAAACGUGGGCGUAAUACCGCAUGACGCCUGUGGGCCAAAGCUCGUGAGGGCGCCUGACGAGGAGCCUGCGUCCGAUUAGGUAGUUGGUUGGGUGAUGGCUGACCAAGCCUGCGAUCGGUAGCUGGUCUGAGAGGAUGGCCAGCCACACUGGGGACUGAGACACGGCCCAGACUCCUACGUGAGGCAGCAGUGGGGAAUAUUGGACAAUGGGCGCAAGCCUGAUCCAGCAAUGCCGCGUGGAUGAAGAAGGUUUU